rnacentral:sRNA from 1 species
UUUUUUUUUUUUUUGCAAAGAAGCAAAACAUAUGCUCCUUACACUCAUUGUUAUUUUUAACUGCCACAACUAUUGUUCUUUAUUGUCAUCGAGCACAAUUCUCAACUAUUAUUGUUCUUUCUCGGUUUUUAUUGCACGUCUAAUUUUACAAUUUACCAAAAAAAUAUCUAAAUAAAAAUAAAUAAAAUAGUAAAAAUAUCUCUUUCAAAUGGGCAGUAGAAGUUUUGUACCCAUAUACAUUUUACGGGACAUUGAUGUGAGAGGUGAGAUCAGGAGCAGUUCUUAAGUCUGAGAUAAGAGUCCAAAGUUGAAGUAAAGAUCAUCACUACACAGAAAGCUUAUCCCCGUAGGACCACAACAACUAGUUCCAUUGUUUUUUUCUUCAGUCUCUCCACUUAGGUAUGUUCUUGUCCAAUACACUUAUUCUAUUCCUCUUUUACACAAAAUUAUUAAU